rnacentral:lncRNA from 1 species
CUGAAUUUUGAUAUAUGUUGAUACUAUUUAGUGUUAAAUAUAAAAAUGUUUAAACACCGUUCUCUAAAAGCUUAAGCUUUUAGAGUACAACGGUUGUUUCACAUGGUAUCAGAGCAGGAGGUCCUGAGUUCGAGUCACGCCAGGCUCCUAGCAUAUUAAUUUCCUCCCAUUUAAUUCAAGCCCACGUCAUGGACCGAUUAAAAAGUUUCGAGCCCAGACGUGAGGGGGAGUGUUAAAUAUAAAAAUGUUUAAACACCGUUCUCUAAAAGCUUAAGCUUUUAGAGUACAACGGUUGUUUC